AUUGAACGCUGGCGGCAUGCUUUACACAUGCAAGUCGAACGGCAGCACGGGAGCUUGCUCCUGGUGGCGAGUGGCGAACGGGUGAGUAAUGCAUCGGAACGUACCCAGUAGUGGGGGAUAGCCCGGCGAAAGCCGGAUUAAUACCGCAUAUUUCCUGAGGGAGAAAGCGGGGGACCUUCGGGCCUCGCGCUACUGGAGCGGCUGAUGUCGGAUUAGCUAGUUGGUGAGGUAAAGGCUCACCAAGGCGACGAUCCGUAGCUGGUCUGAGAGGAUGAUCAGCCACACUGGGACUGAGACACGGCCCAGACUCCUACGGGAGGCAGCAGUGGGGAAUUUUGGACAAUGGGGGCAACCCUGAUCCAGCCAUGCCGCGUGAGUGAAGAAGGCCUUCGGUUGUAAGCUCUUCAGGUGGAAAGAAAUACACUACCCGAACU
rnacentral:rRNA from 1 species